CCCAGUGCACCCGGGCGUCGUCACGUGACCGAGGUGUUUUAACCCAAAUCAUGAACUUUUCCUGAGCCUAACCGAGUGAUGUUUGUGCCUUAACCACGGCGUUUGAAGCGUGGAGAUUCCACGUAUCCUCGGUUUGCAGAAACGUAAAAUGUAUUCAUGUUUUUCAGGCGGUGGCACGUUAGUACUGAAGUGGCAGAUUUUUGAAUGGAGUUUGGUGUGUAGAGGAGCGUCUCACGAAGAGAUUUUAAAGAACAACACUUUUGUGAUGUCUCGGAGAAGCUCCAAAAUAUAUGCAAGAGAUGUGAUUGUCAACAACCACGUUAAUGUUUAAGUGCCCGAUUUUUUGAAUGGAGUCUGGUGUGGGAGCAGGAGCGCUGAAAAGCUGGUUGAAUCCCGGCGUCCAGAACACGUGAGUGCUUCCUGUGACACCGUGCAGGUCAGGCCACCCCAGGUGUGCGUCAUUAGGCACUUCAGGACCGGUGACCGAAGACACUGAGUUACUGUUAAAGUCGGUGCACAGCGGGCCAGGUGAGGCGGGCCAGGUGUGGAUGUGGUGUGGUUUUACCGGAGUGGAGCUACAGAGACAUCCAGCGGAUCACCACGGAAACUACAGGGUGAACUGAGUAACUUCUGCAGCCGGAGAACAGAAAACUGCGUCAGGUAUGAAACAGUUUCUUAUCGCCUCAGAUCUACUUUUGUAUUGGAUUUUCAGGAGGGUUGAAUUACUUAGAAAUGACAAUAUUUCAAGCUAAAUCAGUGGUUCCCUUCCUGUGGUUCACCUCAAGGUCCACUUACUAGCUUUUUUGGAGCAUCUCACGUCUUGCAGCAAAAAGAUUGUCUUGCUUCAACUUCUUUUAGAUCCGUUUUAUAUCGCCAUCUUUUCACAAUUUUCUAUAAACGACUAAUAACGGUAACAUGAGUAGAAAGCUUAAACCAUGAUCAGCUCUUAGCCAAUCAUGAGAGCUGAUGUCACCUGGAGGUUGCCAGGCAACCUCCAGAGAUGCUGCACAGCAGUAAUAGUUAUACUCCUAAAACCACAUGUUGUUUUU